CUCCGCUGCCUAUCCUUUAGUACAAGUCCGCGACAUGUGCGUGCUCUAGCCAAAGCCACGCCGUGUGUCAGGAUUGGAAGGAAAAGUUUGGCCUCAAGUCGUUUCACAUCAAGCGAGUCGCGGUCAAGUAUUCGGACGAGUUGGAAGGGAAGGCUUUGUGGUCUGGCUAUCAGCUGCUCCUCAGUAAACUAUUGGAAGAACUAGCCAGCACAGACACAUUUGAUGGCUUCUUCAUCAGCAACCAAGUCAUCUACAAGAAGAAACCAGAAAAAGUGAACAUGUUAAAGAAAAAAAUCAAACAAGUUAUCCCUUGGAGGGCACUCACGCUGAGGAAGAAGUGGGAUGAGUAUGCGAGACAAGCUUGAGGGAACAGAGGCAGAGUACAGAAACUGCAACCUAUAUAUGUAUAUGUGGACAGGUGAAAGUUACAGAGAAGAAUUACAGUCUGUCUUCACCUGGAUACACUGUAUGGGAAAACUAGGAUUUUGCCUGAUGGCUUUUUCUAUGCUUUUGACAAGUUUAUAAAAUAUAAUAGUAGUGAUAAAAUAAAUAAACAAAUAAAUUGAUAAAUAAAUAAAUACAUUACCUUUA